GCCUUGGUAGCUCCAUCAGUAGAGCGCGAGACUCUUAAUCUCAAGGUCACGGGUUCAAGACCCAUGUUGGGCA